GUCUGUAACUGACGCUGAGGCUCGAAAGCGUGGGGAGCAAACAGGAUUAGAUACCUUGGUAGUCCACGCCGUAAACGAUGAGUGCUAAGUGUUGGAGGGUUUCCGCCCUUCAGUGCUGCAGCAAACGCAUUAAGCACUCCGCCUGGGGAGUACGACCGCAAGGUUGAAACUCAAAGGAAUUGACGGGGGCCCGCACAAGCGGUGGAGCAUGUGGUUUAAUUCGAAGCAACGCGAAGAACCUUACCAGGUCUUGACAUCCUUUGACCACUCUAGAGAUAGAGCUUUCCCUUCGGGGACAAAGUGACAGGUGGUGCAUGGUUGUCGUCAGCUCGUGUCGUGAGAUGUUGGGUUAAGUCCCGCAACGAGCGCAACCCUUAUUGUUAGUUGCCAUCAUUUAGUUGGGCACUCUAGCGAGACUGCCGGUGACAAACCGGAGGAAGGUGGGGAUGACGUCAAAUCAUCAUGCCCCUUAUGACCUGGGCUACACACGUGCUACAAUGGGAAGUACAACGAGUCGCUAGACCGCGAGGUCAUGCAAAUCUCUUAAAGCUUCUCUCAGUUCGGAUUGCAGGCUGCAACUCGCCUGCAUGAAGCCGGAAUCGCUAGUAAUCGCGGAUCAGCACGCCGCGGUGAAUACGUUCCCGGGCCUUGUACACACCGCCCGUCACACCACGAGAGUUUGUAACACCCGAAGUCGGUGAGGUAACCUUUUUGGAGCCAGCCGCCUAAGGUG
rnacentral:rRNA from 1 species